CAGGGAGACAACAAAAUGUUUAAUAUUAUUUUGUCACCUUAGGUCGAUCGGUAUCUCACGUUCUUGAUUUAUUGAGAAUUUCAUUUCCUAAGUUUUUCUAGGUCACACCCAUUAUUUUCCUGGGCCAUUAGCUCAGGUGGUUAGAGCGCACCCCUGAUAAGGGUGAGGUCCCUGGUUCAAGUCCAGGAUGGCCCAUAUCUCUAUGUUGGGGGUAUAGCUCAGUUGGUAGAGCGCCUGCUUUGCAAGCAGGAUGUCAGCGGUUCGAGUCCGCUUACCUCCACUGAUUACCACCUCUUCCAUAAUCUGUAGAAAGGAAAAUUUUUGAGUUGUGAUCAAAAUUCUGAACGAAUCUAGCUUCCUACUGAAAUCAUUAAGAUGCUGGACUCAUUGAAUUAAUUUCAUUGUUUUCAGAGAACCUUGACAACUGCAUAGAUUUUUUUAAAGACAAUAAGCAUCUUUAAUGAUGCAGAUUUAUUAUUUGUGCGAAUGCAUUAAUAACAAUUCUAUUAAGCUGAUGCUUCAAUUUUUGAAGUUAUU
rnacentral:tRNA from 1 species